rnacentral:rRNA from 1 species
UUAAGCGACUAAGCGUACACGGUGGAUGCCCUGGCAGUCAGAGGCGAUGAAGGACGUGCUAAUCUGCGAUAAGCGUCGGUAAGGUGAUAUGAACCGUUAUAACCGGCGAUUUCCGAAUGGGGAAACCCAGUGUGUUUCGACACACUAUCAUUAACUGAAUCCAUAGGUUAAUGAGGCGAACCGGGGGAACUGAAACAUCUAAGUACCCCGAGGAAAAGAAAUCAACCGAGAUUCCCCCAGUAGCGGCGAGCGAACGGGGAGGAGCCCAGAGUCUGAAUCAGUGUGUGUGUUAGUGGAAGCGUCUGGAAAGGCGCGCGAUACAGGGUGACAGCCCCGUACACAAAAAUGCACAUACUGUGAGCUCGAUGAGUAGGGCGGGACACGUGGUAUCCUGUCUGAAUAUGGGGGGACCAUCCUCCAAGGCUAAAUACUCCUGACUGACCGAUAGUGAACCAGUACCGUGAGGGAAAGGCGAAAAGAACCCCGGCGAGGGGAGUGAAAAAGAACCUGAAACCGUGUACGUACAAGCAGUGGGAGCCUCUUUUAUGGGGUGACUGCGUACCUUUUGUAUAAUGGGUCAGCGACUUAUAUUCUGUAGCAAGGUUAACCGAAUAGGGGAGCCGAAGGGAAACCGAGUCUUAACUGGGCGUUAAGUUGCAGGGUAUAGACCCGAAACCCGGUGAUCUAGCCAUGGGCAGGUUGAAGGUUGGGUAACACUAACUGGAGGACCGAACCGACUAAUGUUGAAAAAUUAGCGGAUGACUUGUGGCUGGGGGUGAAAGGCCAAUCAAACCGGGAGAUAGCUGGUUCUCCCCGAAAGCUAUUUAGGUAGCGCCUCGUGAAUUCAUCUCCGGGGGUAGAGCACUGUUUCGGCAAGGGGGUCAUCCCGACUUACCAACCCGAUGCAAACUGCGAAUACCGGAGAAUGUUAUCACGGGAGACACACGGCGGGUGCUAACGUCCGUCGUGAAGAGGGAAACAACCCAGACCGCCAGCUAAGGUCCCAAAGUCAUGGUUAAGUGGGAAACGAUGUGGGAAGGCCCAGACAGCCAGGAUGUUGGCUUAGAAGCAGCCAUCAUUUAAAGAAAGCGUAAUAGCUCACUGGUCGAGUCGGCCUGCGCGGAAGAUGUAACGGGGCUAAACCAUGCACCGAAGCUGCGGCAGCGACGCUUAUGCGUUGUUGGGUAGGGGAGCGUUCUGUAAGCCUGCGAAGGUGUGCUGUGAGGCAUGCUGGAGGUAUCAGAAGUGCGAAUGCUGACAUAAGUAACGAUAAAGCGGGUGAAAAGCCCGCUCGCCGGAAGACCAAGGGUUCCUGUCCAACGUUAAUCGGGGCAGGGUGAGUCGACCCCUAAGGCGAGGCCGAAAGGCGUAGUCGAUGGGAAACAGGUUAAUAUUCCUGUACUUGGUGUUACUGCGAAGGGGGGACGGAGAAGGCUAUGUUGGCCGGGCGACGGUUGUCCCGGUUUAAGCGUGUAGGCUGGUUUUCCAGGCAAAUCCGGAAAAUCAAGGCUGAGGCGUGAUGACGAGGCACUACGGUGCUGAAGCAACAAAUGCCAUGCUUCCAGGAAAAGCCUCUAAGCAUCAGGUAACAUCAAAUCGUACCCCAAACCGACACAGGUGGUCAGGUAGAGAAUACCAAGGCGCUUGAGAGAACUCGGGUGAAGGAACUAGGCAAAAUGGUGCCGUAACUUCGGGAGAAGGCACGCUGAUAUGUAGGUGAAGCGACUUGCUCGUGGAGCUGAAAUCAGUCGAAGAUACCAGCUGGCUGCAACUGUUUAUUAAAAACACAGCACUGUGCAAACACGAAAGUGGACGUAUACGGUGUGACGCCUGCCCGGUGCCGGAAGGUUAAUUGAUGGGGUCAGCGCAAGCGAAGCUCUUGAUCGAAGCCCCGGUAAACGGCGGCCGUAACUAUAACGGUCCUAAGGUAGCGAAAUUCCUUGUCGGGUAAGUUCCGACCUGCACGAAUGGCGUAAUGAUGGCCAGGCUGUCUCCACCCGAGACUCAGUGAAAUUGAACUCGCUGUGAAGAUGCAGUGUACCCGCGGCAAGACGGAAAGACCCCGUGAACCUUUACUAUAGCUUGACACUGAACAUUGAGCCUUGAUGUGUAGGAUAGGUGGGAGGCUUAGAAGUGUGGACGCCAGUCUGCAUGGAGCCGACCUUGAAAUACCACCCUUUAAUGUUUGAUGUUCUAACGUUGACCCGUAAUCCGGGUUGCGGACAGUGUCUGGUGGGUAGUUUGACUGGGGCGGUCUCCUCCUAAAGAGUAACGGAGGAGCACGAAGGUUGGCUAAUCCUGGUCGGACAUCAGGAGGUUAGUGCAAUGGCAUAAGCCAGCUUGACUGCGAGCGUGACGGCGCGAGCAGGUGCGAAAGCAGGUCAUAGUGAUCCGGUGGUUCUGAAUGGAAGGGCCAUCGCUCAACGGAUAAAAGGUACUCCGGGGAUAACAGGCUGAUACCGCCCAAGAGUUCAUAUCGACGGCGGUGUUUGGCACCUCGAUGUCGGCUCAUCACAUCCUGGGGCUGAAGUAGGUCCCAAGGGUAUGGCUGUUCGCCAUUUAAAGUGGUACGCGAGCUGGGUUUAGAACGUCGUGAGACAGUUCGGUCCCUAUCUGCCGUGGGCGCUGGAGAACUGAGGGGGGCUGCUCCUAGUACGAGAGGACCGGAGUGGACGCAUCACUGGUGUUCGGGUUGUCAUGCCAAUGGCACUGCCCGGUAGCUAAAUGCGGAAGAGAUAAGUGCUGAAAGCAUCUAAGCACGAAACUUGCCCCGAGAUGAGUUCUCCCUGACCCUUUAAGGGUCCUGAAGGAACGUUGAAGACGACGACGUUGAUAGGCCGGGUGUGUAAGCGCAGCGAUGCGUUGAGCUAACCGGUACUAAUGAACCGUGAGGCUUAACCUU